rnacentral:rRNA from 1 species
AUGCUGGCCAUGACGCGCACGCACCCCAUAAUCGCGGCGCUCGCGCUGGACCCGGGCAGGCAGACCACGCCGGUCUACCUGCUGCCGCGCUCCAGGGAGGUCGUGGCCAGCGGCCGCGACUGGACCGUGCCCGUCGAGGCGCCGUCGCAGAUGUGGUCGCUGCACGUCGGCAACGCCUUCCAGGAGGACAACGGCCGUGGCGGCCUCGACCUGCACCUGCACAUGUCGGGCUGCUCCUACGACUGGUUCCAUUUCCACAGGAUGUUUGGUAACGUCGUUGACAUGGCACCAAACAUUCAGUUGAUCUUCGUUUGCGCGAUGAUGAUCCAGUGA